UUUCCAAAUCCAAAGGAGUCUCCACUGAGUAGAUGGAUCUCAAGCCAACUUGUUAAGGACUACUCCACACAAGUAGAACAUGACUAUACCAUCCUCCUAUCUUAAUUGCACUCAAGUUCGAGUUAGAACUUAUCUCACCACUCAGAGAUCACCAAGCACAAUAAGCAAAUUAUAUCACACAUACAUAUAUACAAACAUCACAUAUGUACAAAUAUAUUCACACAAAAAGUAGGCUAAACCCACUGGAG
rnacentral:lncRNA from 1 species